AUGUACUGGUGACUCAUAAACACCAGGCCUGGCUUUUCAUACCAUUUUGUGAGAUGUGCCCCCCUCACACCUUAUUAGGAUGUUGGUAUAUUACCCAUUUUCAUG
rfam:Cricetulus griseus cell line CHO-K1, whole genome shotgun sequence.